AUACUAUUACCUCCGUUUCAAAUUUUUUGUUUUAGAUUUGUCUAGGUACGGAUGUAUCGAGUGUCUGAUACAUCUGUAUCUAGACAAAUCUAAAACAAGAAUUUUGGUACGGAGAGAGUAUAUU
rnacentral:pre_miRNA from 1 species